GUACUUGGCAUCACGAGCACACAAACUAAAAUUGGAAUGAUACAGAGAACAGCAUGGAAUCUGUACAAGUAUGAUAAGUAAAUUCAUGAAGCAUUCAAUAUUUUU